rnacentral:lncRNA from 1 species
AGUUGCUAUUAUUAGUAUAGAUAUGCAUUGUUUAAUCGACAGUAUUUACUGAUGUUUAAUGGAUGUCAUGAUCAUAUAUUAUUCAUUACAUUUCUUAGAAUUCAAGAAAGUUAUCGAAUUUCGAUAAAAGUUUGUAUUAAACAAGUAAACAGAAUUAUUUACAAAGAAAAUUCGCAAAAAAUAGCCUUGGCGUUUCAGAAUGAUAAAAAAUUCGGAAGAUACGGCGCCAGCACGAUAUCGCCGAUCUUUCAGAAAUGAAGAUAAUUCUAAGACGUUAUAACCGAACCUUUUAGUUAAAACUAUCGAGAAUAUUAUUUUUCCGUGGUGGCUAGAUAUACGUUUGUAUAAAUCCUGAACGUUUAAUGCGUCGCAAAUUGCUGUAAUUGUGUCACGAAAAUUAUAUGAAAUUAUACGGUAUUCAUUAAUUCGAAAUUAUUCCUAGAAAUCUAAAGACCGAAACGAGAAACAGAUGCUCAAUUCUCA